rnacentral:tRNA from 1 species
CCUGGUGGCUCAGAUGGUAAAGCGUCUGUCUAUAAUGCGGGAGACCCAGGUUCAAUCCCUGGGUCAGGA